UUGGAGGGCAAGUCUGGUGCCAGCAGCCGCGGUAAUUCCAGCUCCAAUAGCGUAUAUUAAAGUUGUUGCAGUUAAAAAGCUCGUAGUUGAAUUUCGGGAUCAGCAGGUUGGUCGUGCCUCUGGUAUGCACUGGUUUCGCUGAUUCCUCCUUUCUGAAGAACUGUAACGUCAUUAAUUUGGUGUUGCAGGGAAACAGGACUGUUACUUUGAAAAAAUUAGAGUGUUUAAAGCAGGCUAACGCUUGAAUACAUUAGCAUGGAAUAAUGAAAUAGGACGUUUGAUCCUAUUUUGUUGGUUUCUAGGAUUGACGUAAUGAUUAAUAGGGAUAGUUGGGGGCAUUAGUAUUCAAUUGUCAGAGGCGAAAUUCUUGGAUUUAUUGAAGACUAACUACUGCGAAGGCAUUUGCCAAGGAUGUUUUCAUUAAUCAAGAACGAAAGUUAGGGGAUCGAAGACGAUCAGAUACCGUCGUAGUCUUAACCAUAAACUAUGCCGACUAGGGAUCGGAUGAUGUUAUUUUUAAUGACUCAUUCGGCGCCUUACGGGAAAC
rnacentral:rRNA from 1 species